GAUGAACGCUAGCGGCAGGCUUAACACAUGCAAGUCGAGGGGCAGCAUGGUGUAGCAAUACACUGAUGGCGACCGGCAAACGGGUGCGGAACACGUACGCAAUCUACCUCUUUCAGGGGCAUAGCCCGAAGAAAUUCGGAUUAACUCCCCAUAAGAUAGUGAAGUGGCAUCACUUAGCUAUUAAAACUCAGGUGGAAAGAGAUGAGCGUGCGUCCCAUUAGCUAGUUGGUAGGGUAACGGCCUACCAAGGCGACGAUGGGUAGCUGGUGU
rnacentral:rRNA from 1 species